rnacentral:rRNA from 1 species
GGCUGGAGAAGGUCCCAAGGGUUGGGCUGUUCGCCCAUUAAAGAGGCACGCGAGCUGGGUUCAGAACGUCGUGAGACAGUUCGGUCCCUAUCCACUGCAGGCGCUAGAAUAUUGAAAAGAUCUGUCCUUAGUACGAGAGGACCGGGAUGGACAAACCUCUGAUGUAUCAGUUGUCACGCCAGUGGCAUGGCUGAGUAGUCACGUCUGGAACGGAUAAUCGCUGAAAGCAUCUAAGCGAGAAGCCGACUUUGAGAUGAAUAUUCGUAGUAUCCAUAGAGAACAUAUGGUCGAUAGGCUAGGGGUGCAAGUGCAGCAAUGCAUUCAGCUGACUAGUACUAAUAUUACGUCUGCUUUUAAG